GAUGAACGCUGGCGGCGUGCCUAAUACAUGCAAGUCGAACGCUUUGUGGUUCAACUGAUUUGAAGAGCUUGCUCAGAUAUGACGAUGAACAUUGCAAAGAGUGGCGAACGGGUGAGUAACACGUGGGAAACCUACCUCUUAGCAGGGGAUAACAUUUGGAAACAGAUGCUAAUACCGUAUAACAAUGACAACCGCAUGGUUGUUAUUUAAAAGAUGGUUCUGCUAUCACUAAGAGAUGGUCCCGCGGUGCAUUAGCUAGUUGGUAAGGUAAUGGCUUACCAAGGCGAUGAUGCAUAGCCGAGUUGAGAGACUGAUCGGCCACAAUGGGACUGAGACACGGCCCAUACUCCUACGGGAGGCAGCAGUAGGGAAUCUUCCACAAUGGGCGAAAGCCUGAUGGAGCAACGCCGCGUGUGUGAUGAAGGGUUUCGGCUCGUAAAACACUGUUGUAAGAGAAGAAUGACAUUGAGAGUAACUGUUCAAUGUGUGACGGUAUCUUACCAGAAAGGAACGGCUAAAUACGUGCCAGCAGCCGCGGUAAUACGUAUGUUCCAAGCGUUAUCCGGAUUUAUUGGGCGUAAAGCGAGCGCAGACGGUUAUUUAAGUCUGAAGUGAAAGCCCUCAGCUCAACUGAGGAAUUGCUUUGGAAACUGGAUGACUUGAGUGCAGUAGAGGAAAGUGGAACUCCAUGUGUAGCGGUGAAAUGCGUAGGUAUAUGGAAGAACACCAGUGGCGAAGGCGGCUUUCUGGACUGUAACUGACGUUGAGGCUCGAAAGUGUGGGUAGCAAACAGGAUUAGAUACCCUGGUAGUCCACACCGUAAACGAUGAGUGCUAGGUGUUUGAGGGUUUCCGCCCUUAAGUGCCGCAGCUAACGCAUUAAGCACUCCGCCUGGGGAGUACGACCGCAAGGUUGAAACUCAAAGGAAUUGACGGGGACCCGCACAAGCGGUGGAGCAUGUGGUUUAAUUCGAAGCAACGCGAAGAACCUUACCAGGUCUUGACAUCCCUUGACAACUCCAGAGAUGGAGCGUUCCCUUCGGGGACAAGGUGACAGGUGGUGCAUGGUUGUCGUCAGCUCGUGUCGUGAGAUGUUGGGUUAAGUCCCGCAACGAGCGCAACCCUUAUUACUAGUUGCCAGCAUUCAGUUGGGCACUCUAGUGAGACUGCCGGUGACAAACCGGAGGAAGGUGGGGAUGACGUCAAAUCAUCAUGCCCCUUAUGACCUGGGCUACACACGUGCUACAAUGGCGUAUACAACGAGUUGCCAACCCGCGAGGGUGAGCUAAUCUCUUAAAGUACGUCUCAGUUCGGGUUGUAGGCUGCAACUCGCCUACAUGAAGUCGGAAUCGCUAGUAAUCGCGGAUCAGCACGCCGCGGUGAAUACGUUCCCGGGUCUUGUACACACCGCCCGUCACACCAUGAGAGUUUGUAACACCCAAAGCCGGUGGGGUAACCUUCGGGAGCCAGCCGUCUAAGGUGGGACAGAUGAUUAGGGUG
rnacentral:rRNA from 1 species